ACGGGGCCCCACAUCCCCUAAAAAGAGCCUGUUCUACAAUCGAUAAUCCACGAUUAACCUCACCAUUUCUAGCUAUCAGCCUGUAUACCUCCGUCGUCAGCUUACCACAUGAGCGCUGAUACAGUAAGCCUAAUGUUAUUACACCCACACGUCAGGUCAAGGUGCAGCUAAUGAAAAGGAAAGAAAUGGGCUACACUUUCUACAUUAGAAGACACGAAAAACUACUUAUGAAAUAUAGUUUAAAGGCGGAUUUAGAAGUAAAAAGGAAUCAGCACGUCCAUUUUAACUCGGCACUGGGGUGUGUACACACCGCCCGUCACCCUCUUCAAGAUUACAACAAAAUUAUUUAAUAAAUUUUAACACCACAGAAGAGGUAAGUCGUAACAUGGUAAGUAUACCGGAAGGUGUGCUUGGAAACGAAAUGUAGCUUAACUAAAG
rnacentral:rRNA from 1 species